rnacentral:lncRNA from 1 species
UGACGGGUGGCUCUCCAGCAGACGUGGAUUCUGGUGGACGUGUGGCAUCGGUAGAACAACAUUUGCUACUCCCCCGCUCCAGCCUACCUGGGCCAGGGAAGGGGCUUGGAGGUAUCUUCCCAGAGGGAUUGUACUAAGGGUCACACUGUUCCUAACUGAAGCCACCCUGAUACCCUCUUUCACCCAGUGGCAUUUGCAACUGAACACAGCAUGUGCGUGAAGGAGCUGUCGUGCUUGUUGGGUGGGAAAAGGGAACCUUUAUGACUGGGACUUGGUCUGGAGGAGAGCUGGUGGGAGCACCACCUUGUGGCAGUCCAUAAGAGAGCCUAGAGUUCAGGUUUGGAACUAGCGGGCUUGAAGUAGCUCCCCAGGGGCCUCAGGUCUUAGCUUCAGCCACAAGCCCAGUUUUCUGCUGUUGGUAAGAGCAGCCCUACAUGUGGUCUGAGAGCUUGUGUGCUUUGCACAUCACUGACUGGAGGCUGGACCAGGUGUUCUCUGGGAAAAAAAAAGACCGAGCCGUGCCUUCAAGGAGCUGCUGCUUAGGGAGCCAAAGGUUGGCAGGGGCCAAGAGGAGACUGAUGGCAUCGUCUUAAGUUACCGGAUGACUUCACGUAUCCCGAGAGGCAGUUGCAAGGACAGUCAAUUCCCCCAGGUGGGCCCCAGGUAGUACCAGGAGGGCUAAAGCAACCUGGUGAUGACAUUGGACAGAUGGUGGGUUUGUGCCACGUGGACCCUUCUGGCAAAGGAAGACUGCAUAUCUGCGUGGUGAAUGACUGAAUCCAAGGAACAUACUUACGACUUACUUGAUAUAGUUUUGGAUCUAGAAUCACAUAGGAUAAAAGGAUCUGGGCACAUCUGUGAAGACAUUUUUGGAUUGGGCUGAGAUAGGAAGACUCAUCCUGAAUGUGGUGGCACCAUUCCCUAGGCUGGAGUGUUGGACCGAAUCAAAAGGAGAAAGUAAGCUGCGUACCAGCAUUCAUCUUUACUAUUUCCUAACUGCAGAUGCAGAGCUCCCUCCAGCUCCUGUUACCAAGCCUUAUCUACAAUGGUGGAUGGACUCAAGUUAUGAACUCAAAUAAUCCCUUCCUUCUGUGAGCUGCUUUUGUUAGGUAUUACAGCAAUAAGAGAAGUAAUUUGUAUGAAAACUAGUUCACUUUUCUUGAUAAAAGAAAUUCCCAAACC